UCGACCUCAAAUCAGGUAGGACUACCCGCUGAACUUAAGCAUAUCAAUAAGCGGAGGAAAAGAAACUAACAAGGAUUCCCCUAGUAACUGCGAGUGAAGCGGGAACAGCUCAAAUUUCGAAUCUGGCGGUCUUCGGCCGUCCGAGUUGUAAUGUAGAGAAGC
rnacentral:rRNA from 1 species